CUGGAGAGCAAUAGUUUCAUCCACAGAGAUCUGGUCUCUUCUCACACGGGAGCCAGGAACUGCCUGGUAAACGACUCCCUGAUGGUCAAGGUGUCUGACUUUGGCAUGGCCAGGUACGUUUUGGACGACCAGUACACCUCAUCAUCAGGAUCCAGGUUUCCAGUGAAGUGGUCGCCUCCUGAAGUCCUCAACUUCUGCAGACAUAGCAGCAAAUCUGAUGUCUGGUCCUACGGUG